rnacentral:rRNA from 1 species
ACAAAAACAUCUCUUCUUGUUAGUUUUUGAAGUAUGGCCUGCCCACUGACGUUUGUUGAAGGGCCGCGGUAUUUUGACCGUGCAAAGGUAGCAUAAUCAUUAGUUCUUUAAUUGUGAUCUGGUAUGAAUGGCUUGACGAGACAUUAGCUGUCUUAGAUUAAUAGUUGAUUGAAUUUGGUCUUUGAGUUAAAAUUCUUAAAUGUUUUUAUGGGACGAGAAGACCCUAUAGAGUUUAACAUCUGAGUUUCUUUCUGUUAUUUUGUUUGUUUUGUUUUAUUAAGUGAUUUAGAUGUUUUGUUGGGGUGAUGGGAGGAAUUUAUUUAACUCCUCUUUAUUUUGCAUAUUUAUUUAUAAUUUAUUGAUCCAUUUAUGUUGAUUAUAAGAUUAAAUUACCUUAGGGAUAACAGCGUUAUCUUCCUUGAGAGUUCUUAUUGGCGGGGAGGUUUGCGACCUCGAUGUUGGAUUAAGGUGAAUUCCGGUGUAGGAGCUGGAAGUGAU